AGAGCCCAAACCAAGAAGCUUGCUUCUUGGGGUUGUAGGACACUCUAUACGGAGUUACAAAAGAAAGUUAUAAAUGAAGCGGUCUGGAAAGGCCCGCCAAAGACGGUAACAGCCCGGUAGUUGAAAUGGCUUUCCCUCCAGAGUGGAUCCUGAGUACGGCGGAACACGUGAAAUUCCGUCGGAAUCCGGGAGGACCAUCUCCCAAGGCUAAAUACUCCCUAG
rnacentral:rRNA from 1 species